GAUGAACGCUGGCGGCGUGCUUAACACAUGCAAGUCGAACGAAGCACUUUAUUUGAUUUCCUUCGGGACUGAUUAUUUUGUGACUGAGUGGCGGACGGGUGAGUAACGCGUGGGUAACCUGCCUUGUACAGGGGGAUAUCAGUUGGAAACGGCUGCUAAUACCGCAUAAGCGCACGGCAUCGCAUGAUGCAGUGUGAAAAACUCCGGUGGUAUAAGAUGGACCCGCGUUGGAUUAGCUAGUUGGUGAGGUAACGGCCCACCAAGGCGACGAUCCAUAGCCGACCUGAGAGGGUGACCGGCCACAUUGGGACUGAGACACGGCCCAAACUCCUACGGGAGGCAGCAGUGGGGAAUAUUGCACAAUGGGCGAAAGCCUGAUGCAGCGACGCCGCGUGAGCGAAGAAGUAUUUCGGUAUGUAAAGCUCUAUCAGCAGGGAAGAUAAUGACGGUACCUGACUAAGAAGCACCGGCUAAAUACGUG
rnacentral:rRNA from 1 species